rnacentral:rRNA from 1 species
UACAGAGGGGGGCAAGCGUUGUUCGGAAUUACUGGGCGUAAAGGGCGCGUAGGCGGCCUUCUAAGUCGAACGUGAAAUCCCCGGGCUCAACCCGGGAACUGCGUCCGAUACUGGAAGGCUUGAAUCCGGGAGAGGGAUGUGGAAUUCCAGGUGUAGCGGUGAAAUGCGUAGAUAUCUGGAGGAACACCGGUGGCGAAGGCGGCA